rnacentral:rRNA from 1 species
AGUUACUGCUAUCGAGAUUCGAUCAAGCCAUGCGAGUCGAAUGUUCUUCGUGAACAUGGCGGACUGCUCAGUAACACGUGGACAACCUACCCUUGGAUCUGGGAUAAACCCGGGAAACUGGGCAUAAUACCGGAUAAGCCACAUAUGCUGGAAUGCUUUGUGGCUCAAAGCUCCGGCGUCCAAGGAUGGGUCUGCGGCCUAUCAGGGUAGUAGUGGGUGUAAUGUACCUACUAGCCUACGACGGGUACGGGUUGUGAGAGCAAGAGCCCGGAGAUGGAUUCUGAGACACGAAUCCAGGCCCUACGGGGUGCAGCAGGCGCGAAAACUUUACAAUGCGGGAAACCGCGAUAAGGGAAUCUCGAGUGCCAGCAUAUAAUGUUGGCUGUCCAGAUGCCUAAAAAGCAUUUGUUAGCAAGGGCCGGGCAAGACCGGUGCCAGCCGCCGCGGUAACACCGGCGGCCCGAGUGGUAACCGUUAUUAUUGGGUCUAAAGGGUCUGUAGCCGGCCGAAUAAGUCUCUUGGGAAAUCUGGCAGCUUAACUGUCAGGCAGUCAGGGGAUACUGUUCGGCUUGGGACCGGGAGAGGUGAGAGGUACCUCGGGGGUAGGGGUGAAAUCUUGUGAUCCUCGAGGGACCACCAGUGGCGAAGGCGUCUCACCAGAACGGGUCCGACGGUAAGGGACGAAAGCUAGGGGCGCGAACCGGAUUAGAUACCCGGGUAGUCCUAGCCGUAAACGAUGCUUGCUAGGUGUCAGCCACGGUGCGACCGUGGUUGGUGCCGUAGGGAAGCCGUGAAGCGAGCCACCUGGGAAGUACGGCCGCAAGGCUGAAACUUAAAGGAAUUGGCGGGGGAGCACUACAACGGUGGAGCUGCGUUU